GCUUGUCUCAAAGAUUAAGCCAUGCAUGUCUAAGUAUAAGCAUUAUACAGUGAAACUGCGAAUGGCUCAUUAUAUCAGUUAUAGUUUAUUUGAUAGUCCCUGCUAUUUGGAUAACCGUAGUAAUUCUAGAGCUAAUACAUGCACAAAGCAGCCCUCACGGGUUGUGUAUUUAUUAGAUGGAAACCAAUGCGGGGCAACCCGGAAUAUGGUGAUUCAUAAUAACUUUCGGAUCGUUUACGAUGCAUCAUUCAAGUUUCUGCCCUAUCAGCUUUGGAUGGUAGGGUAUUGGCCUACCAUGGCUUUAACGGGUAACGGAGAAUUAGGGUUCGAUUCCGGAGAGGGAGCCUGAGAAAUGGCUACCACAUCCAAGGAAGGCAGCAGG
rnacentral:rRNA from 1 species